rnacentral:rRNA from 1 species
UACAUGGGGUGCAAACGUUUGCUCGGAAUUAUUGGGCGUAAAGCGCACGUAGGCGGUUCGUUAAGUCGGAUGUGAAAGCCCUCGGCUCAACUGAGGAAGUGCACCCGAAACUGGCGAGCUUGAGUACGAAAGAGGAUCGCGGAAUUCCCGGUGUAGAGGUGAAAUUCGUAGAUAUCAGGAGGAACACCGGUGGUGUAAACGGACUUU